UCAUCCCUACAGCCAUCUGGGGUAAAAUGCUGGCUUUGGGCUCCAUGAGGAAGAGCUACAAACAGAGGCUGUGGAGCACUAGGCACACAUUACUGAAGUUUAAGCACAACUGUUGAAACUUUUCUUUCAGUACGGCUAAGAGGUACUACCUUGACAUUAUUGGUUCACCAGCAGAGCAGAACUGCCCCAGACAUCAAUAAUAAUUCAGCG